rnacentral:rRNA from 1 species
UACGGAGGGUGCAAGCGUUAUCCGGAUUCACUGGGUUUAAAGGGUGCGUAGGCGGGUUGGUAAGUCCGUGGUGAAAUCUCCGAGCUUAACUCGGAAACUGCCGUGGAUACUAUCAAUCUUGAAUAUCGUGGAGGUAAGCGGAAUAUGUCAUGUAGCGGUGAAAUGCUUAGAUAUGACAUAGAACACCAAUUGCGAAGGCAGCUGGCUAGACCUGGAUUGACGCUGAGGCACGAAAGCGUGGGGAGCGAACAGG